rnacentral:rRNA from 1 species
CACGAGCGGCGAACGGGUGAGUAACACGUGGGUGAUCUGUGCUUGCACUCUGGGAUAAGCCUGGGAAACUGGGUCUCAUACCGGAUAUGACCACUGAUCGCAUGGUUGGUGGUGGAAAGAUUUAUCGGUGUGAGAUGGGCCCGCGGCCUAUCAGCUUGUUGGUGGGGUAAUGGCCUACCAAGGCGACGACGGGUAGCCGGCCUGAGAGGGCGACCGGCCACACUGGGACUGAGACACGGCCCAGACUCCUACGGGAGGCAGCAGUGGGGAAUAUUGCACAAUGGGCGAAAGCCUGAUGCAGCGACGCCGCGUGAGGGAUGACGGCCUUCGGGUUGUAAACCUCUUUCGACAGGGACGAAGCGAGAGUGACGGUACCUGUAGAAGAAGCACCGGCCAACUACGUGCCAGCAGCCGCGGUAAUACGUAGGGUGCGAGCGUUGUCCGGAAUUACUGGGCGUAAAGAGCUUGUAGGCGGUUCGUCGCGUCGAUCGUGAAAACUUGCAGCUCAACUGUGAGCUUGCGGUCGAUACGGGCGGACUAGAGUACUGCAGGGGAGACUGGAAUUCCUGGUGUAGCGGUGAAAUGCGCAGAUAUCAGGAGGAACACCGGUGGCGAAGGCGGGUCUCUGGGCAGUAACUGACGCUGAGAAGCGAAAGCGUGGGUAGCGAACAGGAUUAGAUACCCUGGUAGUCCACGCCGUAAACGGUGGGCGCUAGGUGUGGGUUUCCUUCCACGGGAUCCGUGCCGUAGCUAACGCAUUAAGCGCCCCGCCUGGGGAGUACGGCCCCAAGGCUAAAACUCAAAGGAAUUGACCGGGGCCCGCACAAACGGCGGAGCAUGUGGAUUAAUUCGAUGCACCUUGUGGAGGGAGCCGUUGAAGGUGGGAU